GGACCUGAUCUAACAAGAUGCUGGGCCGGUGGUACAUUUUACAACUUGGACCUCGUAGAGUUAUACAAUCGAGUGAACAGCCCUUCCUCAAUCCCAUCGUCUCUUUCCCUGUGGCCUCUCCUGUACCACACGGGAUGAGAGCUAGGGUUAGCAAAAUUUGCUCCGCCGCCUCCCUCCCCCUCCGCCGUGCCACUCGACCUUCCCCAUCUUUCCUGUACCUAUGGCAGGCGUUGUUGAAGCACCAGCGCAGGCCCCUCCCCCCAUCUGAAAAUGGCCGCGUCUAGCGAAAUCGUCUUUGCGGCCGGCGGCUGGCUGGCUGCGACCGCAACUCCGGGACGUCGCCGCUACCACGGCAAAUGAGUUGUUUAUUUUUGCAGCUCACGUAUCCAGGGAAAAGUUUAUGCAGUAUUGCAUCAGUGAAGUGAUUACAUCUGACACGAUCCAUGCCUGAAUUUCGGAAAAUUAUGGACAGUGUAAUAGGAGUAACGCCAGAGAUGUAUGGAUAUCUGUAGAGUAAGCAUUUUAGUGACCGUGUGUUGUAACUGAUCCUAUCAUGUGUAUCUCAGCAUAAAAAGAAGAAGAUUAAGCCUGUGUAUAUGAAGGCAUGAGUUAUCUUUAAUGUCUAUUUUUGUUUGAUUGA